rnacentral:rRNA from 1 species
AGUGAACGCUGGCGGUAGGCCUAACACAUGCAAGUCGAACGGCAGCACAGUAAGAGCUUGCUCUUACGGGUGGCGAGUGGCGGACGGGUGAGGAAUACAUCGGAAUCUACUUUUUCGUGGGGGAUAACGUAGGGAAACUUACGCUAAUACCGCAUACGACCUACGGGUGAAAGCAGGGGAUCUUCGGACCUUGCGCGAUUGAAUGAGCCGAUGUCGGAUUAGCUAGUUGGCGGGGUAAAGGCCCACCAAGGCGACGAUCCGUAGCUGGUCUGAGAGGAUGACAGGCACAAUGGGACCGGAACAAGGGUCCGACUCCUACGGGGAGGCAGCAGUGGGGAAUAUUGGACAAUGGGCGCAAGCCUGAUCCAGCCAUACCGCGUGGGUGAAGAAGGCCUUCGGGUUGUAAAGCCCUUUUGUUGGGAAAGAAAAGCAGCAGGUUAAUACCCCGCUGUUCUGACGGUACCCAAAGAAUAAGCACCGGCUAACUUCGUG